rnacentral:tRNA from 1 species
GUUAGCGUGGCAGAGCCUGGUCAUGCAGAAGAUCUAAGUCCUUCCCUCAGGGGUUCAAAUCCCCUCACUAACU